rnacentral:rRNA from 1 species
GGGGGGUGCAAGCGUUGCUCGGAAUCACUGGGCGUAAAGCGUCCGCAGGUGGGUGUGUGUGUCGGAUGUGAAAGCCCAGGGCUCAACCCUGGAACUGCAUUCGAAACUGCACAUCUUGAGUACGGGAGAGGGAAGCAGAAUUCCUGGUGUAGAGGUGAAAUUCGUAGAUAUCAGGAGGAAUACCUGUGGCGAAAGCGGCUUCCUGGUCCGAUACUGACACUCAUGGACGAAAGCGCGGGGAGCAAACAGGAUUAGAUACCCUGGUAGUCCGCGCCGUAAACGAUGGAUGCUAGUUGAUGGGUCUUUUACCGACUCAUUGACGUCGCUAACGCAUUGAGCAUCCCGCCUGGGGAGUACGGUCGCAAGAUUA